UACGUAGGGUGCAAGCGUUUGUCCGGAAUUAUUGGGCGUAAAGAGCUCGUAGGCGGUCUGUUGCGUCGGCUGUGAAAACCCGGGGCUCAACUCCGGGCCUGCAGCCGAUACGGGCAGACUAGAGUUCGGCAGGGGAGACUGGAAUUCUGGUGUAGCGGUGAAAUGCGCAGAUAUCAGGAGGAACACCGGUGGCGAAGGCGGGUCUCUGGGCCGAUACUGACGUGAGGAGCGAAAGCGUGGGGAGCGAACAGG
rnacentral:rRNA from 1 species